rnacentral:rRNA from 1 species
UACGUAGGGGGCAAGCGUUGUCCGGAUUUAUUGGGCGUAAAGAGCGUGUAGGCGGUCAGGUAGGUCCGUUGUGAAAACUCGAGGCUCAACCUCGAGACGCCGAUGGAAACCAUCUGACUAGAGUCCGGAAGAGGAGAGUGGAAUUCCUGGUGUAGCGGUGAAAUGCGCAGAUAUCAGGAAGAACACCCGUGGCGAAGGCGGCUCUCUGGAACGCAACUGACGCUGAGACGCGAAAGCGUGGGGAGCGAACAGG